rnacentral:rRNA from 1 species
CCUACGUGCGGCUGCAGUGGGGAAUAUUGCACAAUGGGGGGAACCCUGAUGCAGCGACGCCGCGUGGGUGAAGGAGUAUUUCGGUAUGUAAAGCCCUAUCAGCAGGGAAGAACAAUGACGGUACCUGACUAAGAAGCACCGGCUAAAUACGUGCCAGCAGCCGCGGUAAUACUUAUGGUGCAAGCGUUAUCCGGAUUUACUGGGUGUAAAGGGCGUGCAGCCGGGAAGACAAGUCAGAUGUGAAAUCCCGCGGCUCAACCGCGGAACUGCAUUUGAAACUGUUUUUCUUGAGUACCGGAGAGGUCAUCGGAAUUCCUUGUGUAGCGGUGAAAUGCGUAGAUAUAAGGAAGAACACCAGUGGCGAAGGCGGAUGACUGGACGGCAACUGACGGUGAGGCGCGAAAGCGUGGGGAGCAAACAGGAUUAGAUACCCGAGUAGUC